UACGGAGGCUCCAAGCGUUAUCCGGAUUUAUUGGGUUUAAAGGGUGCGUAGGCGGUUCCAUAAGUCAGUGGUGAAAUCUCAUAGCUUAACUAUUGAGGUGCCAUUGAUACUGCGGAACUUGAGUACAGACGAGGUAGGCGGAAUUGACGGUGUAGCGGUGAAAUGCUUAGAUAUCGUCAAGAACACCGAUAGCGAAGGCAGCUUACUAGACUGUAACUGACGCUGAUGCACGAAAGUGUGGGGAUCAAACAGG
rnacentral:rRNA from 1 species